UACGUAGGGUGCAAGCGUUGUCCGGAAUUAUUGGGCGUAAAGAGCUCGUAGGCGGCUUGUCGCGUCGUCCGUGAAAACCUGCAGCUCAACUGCAGGCUUGCGGUCGAUACGGGCAGGCUAGAGUUCGGUAGGGGAGACUGGAAUUCCUGGUGUAGCGGUGAAAUGCGCAGAUAUCAGGAGAAACACCGGUGGCGAAGGCGGGUCUCUGGGCCGUUACUGACGCUGAGGAGCGAAAGCGUGGGGAGCGAACAGG
rnacentral:rRNA from 1 species